rnacentral:rRNA from 1 species
GAUGAACGCUGGCGGCGUGCUUAACACAUGCAAGUCGAACGGAAAGGCCCAAGCUUGCUUGGGUACUCGAGUGGCGAACGGGUGAGUAACACGUGGGUGAUCUGCCCCGCACUUCGGGAUAAGCCUGGGAAACUGGGUCUAAUACCGGAUAGGACAGUGGUUUGGAUGCCAUUGUGGAAAGAUUUUUCGGUGUGGGAUGAGCUCGCGGCCUAUCAGCUUGUUGGUGGGGUAAUGGCCUACCAAGGCGUCGACGGGUAGCCGGCCUGAGAGGGUGUACGGCCACAUUGGGACUGAGGUACGGCCCAGACUCCUACGGGAGGCAGCAGUGGGGAAUAUUGCACAAUGGGCGCAAGCCUGAUGCAGCGACGCCGCGUGGGGGAUGACGGCCUUCGGGUUGGAAACUCCUUUCGCUAGGGACGAAGCGUUAUGUGACGGUACCUAGAGAAGAAGCACCGGCUAACUACGUG